rnacentral:misc_RNA from 1 species
GAAAGUCCGGGCUCCAUAGGGUAAAGUGCCAGGUAACUCCUGGGAGGCGCGAGCCUACGGAAAGUGCCACAGAAAAUAUACCGCCUUCCGUAUUAUGCGGCAGGUAAGGGUGAAAUGGUGCGGUAAGAGCGCACCGCGCGACUGGCAACAGGCGUGGCAGGGAAAACCCCACUCGGAGCAAGACCAAAUAGGAAUCUGCCCUGCUUAUGCAGGAACGUAUGACCCAUACGAGAUUCGGGUAGGUUGCUUGAGGUAUGUGGCGACACAUAUCCCAGAUGACAAGAUGUGUAUCCA